CAGUCGUCACGGGAAUACGAAGGGGGCUAGCGUUGUUCGGAUUUACUGGGCGUAAAGGGCGCGUAGGCGGACUGAUAAGUCAGGGGUGAAAUCCCAAGGCUCAACCUUGGAACUGCCUUUGAUACUGUUUGUCUUGAGUUCGAGAGAGGUAAGUGGAACUGCGAGUGUAGAGGUGAAAUUCGUAGAUAUUCGCAAGAACACCAGUGGCGAAGGCGGCUGACUGGACAUGUAUUGACGCUGAGGUGCGAAAGCGUGGGGAGCAAACAGGAUUAGAUACCCCGGUAGUCCCUGUCUCUUAUAA
rnacentral:rRNA from 1 species